rnacentral:rRNA from 1 species
GAUGAACGCUGGCGGCGUGCCUAAUACAUGCAAGUCGAGCGAAUGGAUUAAGAGCUUGCUCUUAUGAAGUUAGCGGCGGACGGGCGAGUAACACGUGGGUAACCUGCCCAUAAGACUGGGAUAACUCCGGGAAACCGGGGCUAAUACCGGAUAAUAUUUUGAACCGCAUGGUUCAAAAUUGAAAGGCGGCUUCGGCUGUCACUUAAGGAUGGACCCGCGUCGCAUUAGCCAGUUGGUGAGGUAACGGCUCACCAAGGCAACGAUGCGUAGCCGACCUGAGAGGGUGAUCGGCCACACUGGGACUGAGACACGGCCCAGACUCCUACGGGAGGCAGCAGUAGGGAAUCUUCCGCAAUGGACGGAAGUCUGACGGAGCAACGCCGCGUGAGUGAUGAAGGCUUUCGGGUCGUAAAACUCUGUUGUUAGGGAAGAACAAGUGCUAGUUGAAUAAGCUGGCACCUUGACGGUACCUAACCAGAAAGCCACGGCUAACUACGUGCCAGCCGCCGCAGUAA